UACGUAGGUGGCAAGCGUUGUCCGGAUUUAUUGGGUUUAAAGGGUGUGUAGGCGGCCCUGUAAGUCAGUGCUGAAAUAUCCCGGCUUAACCGGGAGGGUGGCAUUGAUACUGCGGGGCUAGAGUACAGAUGAGGUAGGCGGAAUUGACGGUGUAGCGGUGUAAUGCUUAGAUAUCGUCAAGAACACCUAUAGCGAAGGCAGCUUACUAGGCUGUAACUGACGCUGAGGCACGAAAGUGUGGGGAGCAAACAGG
rnacentral:rRNA from 1 species